GCCCUAAACCUCAGUAGUUAGAUAACAAAACUACUCGCCAGAAUACUACGAGCUACAGCUUAAAACUCAAAGGACUUGACGGUGCUUUACACCCCCUAGAGGAGCCUGUUCCGUAAUCGAUAAACCCCGAUCCACCCCACCCUCUCUUGCUCAGCCUAUAUACCGCCAUCUUCAGCAAACCCUAAUGAAGGUCACAAAGUGAGCGCAAACGCCGUCACCGCGAGUACGUUAGGUCAAGGUGUAGCCUAUGAGAUGGUAAAAAAUGGGCUACAUUUUCUACCUCAGAAAAUUCCACGAAAACCCUUAUGAAAUUUAAGGGCCCAAGGAGGAUUUAGCAGUAAAUUAAGAAUAGAGUGCUUAAUUGAACCAGGCCAUAAAGCGCGCACACACCGCCCGUCACUCCUCUCAAAUAUAUUUAAGGAACAUCUUAACUAAACGCCCUAAUAUUUAUAUAGAGAGGAUAAGUCGUAACAUGGUAAGCGUACUGGAAGGUGCGCUUGGAUAAAU
rnacentral:rRNA from 1 species